rnacentral:rRNA from 1 species
AAGUCGUAACAAGGUUUCCGUAGGUGAACCUGCGGAAGGAUCAUUAAUGCGAAAAAAAUAGGGUCGGGUCGGAACUGCGCCCGAGAACAAGAUCCGGGACCGAUGACCCGGCCCUAUCAUUGUACCACCCGUGCGUACUCAACGAUAAAUUGCCUUGACAGGCAUGUCGACCCGUCAGGGAGCCUAAAACUCGAUUGAUACGGUGACGUCUGAGUGAUACAGAAUAACUAAAACUUUCAACAACGGAUCUCUUGGUUCUGGCAUCGAUGAAGAACGCAGCGAAAUGCGAUAAGUAAUGUGAAUUGCAGAAUUCAGUGAAUCAUCGAAUCUUUGAACGCACAUUGCGCCUUCUGGAAAUUCCGAAAGGCAUACCUGUUCGAGCGUCAUUCAAACCCUCAAGCUAGGCUUGAUGUUGGGCGAUCGCCCUCCGGGACGUGCCUGAAAUACAGUGACGGUCCGGGUGAUUUCAAGCGCAAUACCGUAUCUGUUCGCUUUGGAAUAUCACCUGAGAUCCGAUCAACCCAAACUUUCCACAAUUGACCUCGGAUCAGAUAGGGAUACCCGCUGAACUUAA